CCAGGGUAAUAUCAUGACAGUAGAUGGUAGACCAGGGUAAUAUAAUGACAGUAGAGGUUAAUAUAAUGACAGUAGAUGGUAGACCAGGGUAAUAUAAUGACAGUAGAUGGUGGACCAGGGUAAUAUAUUGACAGUAGAUGGGAGACCAGGUUAAUAUAAUGACAGUAGAUGGUAGACCAGGGUAAUAUAAUGACAGUAGAUGGUCGACCAGGGUAAUAUAAUGACAGUAGUUUGUAGACCAGGGUAAUAUAAUGGCAGUAAAUGGUAGACCAGGGUAAUAUAAUGACAGUAGAUGGUAGACCAGGGUAAUAUAAUGACAGUAGAUGGUAGACCAGGGUAAUAUAAUGACAGUAGAGGGGAGAUCAGGGUAAUAUAAUGACAGUAGUGGGGAGACCAGGGGUAAUAUAAUGACAGUAGAUGGUAGACCAGGGUAAUAUAAUGACAGUAGAUGGUAGACCAGUGU
ensembl:lncRNA